rnacentral:lncRNA from 1 species
AUGGCGGAUUGUUUACAUUUGGCAGCGCCCGGGCUGCGCCGACCGCCGGCCCCAAGCAGCCGCGGGCCCCGAGGAGUCGGCCGAGCUGCCCCCGCGCCCUGGCCGGAAAUUCUCCUUCCUCUGCCAUGUGAAGAAUGUGUUUGCUUCUCCAACUACCAUAAUUGUGCAAUUCAGAAUGUAAUAGAGAAGGAGACUCAACCCUCAAGGAAGUUGCAAUCUAAAGGCAAUCUGUCCUUCAAUGGCGAAAUGCUCUGCGAAUGUGAAGUACCUUCCCCACUCCUCUGCAGAGAGAAAUUGCCUUUUGCUUUGGUGCUAUGCAGUGAGAGUGAAGUCCCUGCCCUUAACUAUUAGCUUUAGAGAACAAUUUGAAGAAGAGGUAAGCCUUCAGAAUACUUUCCUAAUUUAAUAUAUCUAUUUAAGUUUCCAAAGACCAGGAUUCCUUUUUUUCACUUCUGUUUAUUUCCUGUGGAAGAACUGCAUUUACAUUCAGAAAGCUGACAGUUUACCAACUUCUGCCACAGCCACUGAUUCAGGGGUAAAAACUAAACCAGGAAUUUUUCAUUGAGGUAUUGGAUCCCGUGAGGUAGUCUAGAGAGAGACAAUAGGAAAUUUUCAUUGUUCUGUUGGACAUAAAUUCUCUAUGGUAUUUCAUUCUGUAAUGCUUGAGUUCUGGCCUCGGAGGAUCUGACAAGAUGUGAAGACAAGAUUUGUCAUUUUUCCUUCUCAUAGAGUCCUGAUAUUCUGUUGAUGGUUUCAAUUUCGAUUAUUCACAUGGCUUCUAGUGAUGUAAUACCUCUGAGCUCACAUCAUGCUUAUACAAGUUUGAGGAGUGUCUGCCACAUUUUACCAUUUUACAAGGGAGCUUCUGGUCACAGCUUGUUUGAGGGUAUUGCUUUUGGCCAGGAAGCAAAUAAAUAAGCAAAAGAGCCUCUCACUCCUUACUCCAUUUCAAUUGUUGUAACUAAAAACAAACAAACAAACAAACAAAAAACGAAUUUCAAAACUAUGAGCUUUAAAAAAAACACUGCCAGUUACAGAUGGUCACUUUUCAAACAGACACACAUACCUAAGUACACAUAUACAUACACUAAUGUGAUAAGGUAGUAUUCAUCACAAAUAAAUGAUACUGUCAUUUUAGUUUGUGACAUUGACUUAUAAAGUGUAAAGCUUGUAUUGUACAUUCCAUAGAUGACACAUUCUGAUACUGUAUUUGUGGAAGAGAGGCAGUAACACGAAAAUCUUGGGGUUGUUUCAUACAUUUUAAAAUAUCAACUAAUAAUUAUUUUAUACAGAUAUUUUGGCUCAGGCCGUAGUGCAUACUGUUUCUUUUUUGUACAUUGAAAUGCAAUAGGUUUUUACAAAGAAAGUGAAAGUAUAAGUGCUAACAAGAACUUGCCAUUUUGCAUGUGCAUUCUGUUGUAAGCUUUGGUUCUUUGGAAUAUAAGGUAGUGCUGCUAAAUAUUAAGAUAGUUCCUUUACUCUGUGUACUUAUCCAAUGAUAGAAACCGCAGCACUAAUUUUGUUGAGAUGUGUUUGUUUAAGUUCUGGAGGUUAACCCAGUGGCAAGUUCAUCCUUAUUUGAUAAUAAUGAAACAUAAGUUUUAUGUGUUUGCUUGAGUAAGAUUGCCAUCUGGUAAAUAAUAUGUUUUGUGAGUGUUUAUAACAAUCAUGGUUUAAGCCAAAAUUGACUUAUCAUGAUUGCUGCAAAUAACACUUGAGUGUCCUAACUGGUUUGAUUUUUUUUUCUUUGUUGAAUUGAGCAAAUGUAUUUUACGAAGCUUCCUGCAUUUAUUUUUAAAGUAUUUUGUGGGUUUUAAAGCUUGAGCUUUCAAAAGCAAUAAUUACAGCUGAUUACUAUCUCCAUAUAGUACUUCUCUAAAGGAGGAAAAAAGGAUUGUGUAGAUAGCAUCAUAAGUAUUAUAUAUGUGUAUGUAUAUAUAUGUGUGUGUGUGUGUGUGUGUGUAUAUAUAUGUAUAUAUAUAUAUAUUUAUACAUAUACAUACAGUUUUGCCUUCAACAAGUUUGAAGUUUAUUCCUUUAUAAAUUGAAGAACCCUAAACAUUUUUACCUUGGUAGAAUAGCAUAUUAGGAAAGUUCAGAUCAGCCAGGAGUAUCUUGGCAUAUUAUUUCUCAGGCAGUAAUAGCAUUAGAAGCAAUUGUGGAAAUGGUCUCUAACAUAUUAUCUUGCCUUAAAAAGGAGAAAUGUAUGAAAGUAAAAGAUUUUUGUUUUUUUUUCUCAGCCUAAGUAAAACCUGAGACUGCCUUUCUCCAUGCCACAUGUAAAACACCUUUUCUAGUUUCCACAGGAUUAAUUUUCAAUCAGUUCAAUUUGAAGACUUCAAGUGAUAUUCAAUGACUUCUUGAAAAUGUCAAUUAAAAUCUUAAACUGGUUGCUUUGCAUAUCAAAAGGAACUGAAGAAAAUGAGUAGUUUGGCUAGAAAUUUGGAAUGAGUUUAGAAAGGGUGUCUAUAGUUGGUUAGUUAUUUUUGGUUCGGAGACCAGGAGUUUGAUUCUUCAUGGCAAUCAAUUAUUGUUACUCUGUGCUAAGGUCAACAUUAUGGUUUUUGACUGUUGAUGACUCCUUUGCUUUGGGUGGUAUGAUCUGAAGGGAGACUGGAGAGGCUGAGCAUAGAACUGGGCCAACAAAAAGCCAUCUUCUGUUCUUUGAAAUGCUCUUCUUAUCUUUUUUUAUAUUUUGGAAGAUGAUCGUAUCUUCAUUAAAUGGUCUCCAUCUAUGUGUAUGGCAUAUGUAGAUACUUUCCUGAAUCCUGUCUUCAUCUCUCUCAUUUCUUAUUACUUCUUUUAGGACGUUUAUUUUCACUUAUGUGUUUAAUUUACACUUACAUAUGUAUGACUCCAAAUAUACUUUGCUGUCCCUUAGCUUUAGAUCUCUAGCCAUAAACAUGCCAGCAUUCUUGAUUACUGAUUAAUGGCUCCUUAAACAGUUUUUAGAGCUCAUUAUCAUUCCUCUUCUCUUUCUGCUCCUUCCACACUUGUGACUGCAUUCAUAUCCAUGACUGUGGACAUGCUGCUUAAAUACAAUAUUGAGUAAAAAUAUUAAAUCAGACAUGAUAGAGAAAUUAACCUAUGUUGUAUAGGAAUGCAUAAUUAGGUAGUAAAAGUAUAAAAGUAAGGAAGAAUGUGACUGGCAUAAUAGAAUAGUGGUUAUCCCAAUGGAAAGAGGGGCUCAUAAUAAGGAGGGUCACACAGGAGCCUUCUCUUGCUUGACCUGAAUGGGAUUAUAAUGGCUUCUUUUGAUUUGGAGACAGGGUCUUAUUCUCUCAUCUAGGCUGGAGUGCAGUGGUGUGAUAAUAGCUCAUUGCAGCCUUGACCACCCAGGCUCAAGUGAUCCUUUCACCUGAGCCUCCUGGGUAGCUGGACUCAUGGGCACAUAGCACAAUGCCUGGCUAAUUUUCUGAUUUUUUUGUAGAGAUGAGGUCUUACUAUGUUGUGGUUUAUUUUAUUACAUUUAAUUAAGCUGUAUAUUGAUGUUUUCUGCACAUUUCAGUAUGUUUGUUACAUUUCAAAAGUUUUAAAAGGAAGGAAAAAUGGGAAUAAUAUAUUUUGAGUUUCUUGAUGAGAUCACUUUUUCCUUGCACAUUGUAAAAAGAAUUUAAAGAUAAAUUUAUUAUUGUGUGAAAAGUAAUGCCUAAAAAUUUUCAAUAAUCAUCAAGAUCUUUAAGACCACUGAUACUGUUUGACUCUACAAUACCCCUUAAAAGCUCCAUUGUAAAGAAAUGAAACCAGAAGUAUACACAGAGAAAUAUGUAUUUGGAUAUUAUGGAUUAAAAAGCCAAAAAUUUUCCAAAACAGGAGGUUAAUUAAAUUUAGUAUGGCAUAUUCACAAAAUCAAAGACUUGAGUCCUUAUUCAUUAGCAGUCACACCCUAAUGUAUUUGAGUUUUAAAGUUUUUAAAAUGAAAUUUGUUUUUUUUAGUUUAUAUAUUUGAAAAUCACAGCUCAAAAUUACAAUGAUACAUUUUUCUGUAUCUGCUCUACCCAAUAGUUUGUGUUGUCUGAUAUCUACUGAUCUGACUUCUUUUUCCAGAGCCACAUGAGGAUUUCUGCUAGUUUUUAUGUUGGACAUUUUAGGCAUAUUCCAAAUAGAAGUAUGAAUUUCAGCACAAGAAAAGCCAUUAUUAGGAAAGGGAGUCACUUACAGUAUUUCAAAACAAACCUACCAUUUCUGCAGAGCUGAACAGUUUACUUAGCCAAUGAGGAUAUAAAUAUUUGCAUAUCUGAUAGAUUAACGCCAGCUCUAGAUUUAACACACAGUGCACAGCUGCUGUCGGCUGAUGAUUUUACUCCUGCAAACUCAAAUAUUAACUAAACCAAAUGAUAGAUUUUUAGCUUCUGUUAAUAGAAGUUUUACAAAGUGGCUUGACUACCUGAGAUAAAAGACAUUCAUGUUUUUCCAAGGUAAAUGUAAUUGCUUAUAAAAACUGCCUCAAAUUGUGGUAUUAAAAAAAGUUGGAUGUUAGAAGAGAUGUAUGUUAAAAGACAAUAUUUGAAAACUGGUAUAAUGUAACAAAUUGGGUGUUUACACCAUCUAGUUUUCCAUAACAUAAAAAUAAAUCCUGUCUACUUAUUCCAAAAGUCCUGUCAGGAUUUACUGUUAGAAAAUGUAACUUUCCUUAUAGCUUACAUUUUUCUGUAAAUUCAAUGCAUCUGAAAUGUGUUCAACUCUUUGAUAUACAGCAAAUCAGUGUUCUUUAUGUUACAGCAGAUUUUAAAACUGAUUUUUCAACUUUUAAAAAUUAUUGAUUUUGACACAAAUCUAUAUUAAAAAAAUACACCUUCUUGCUUGCUAGGUUAGCACCACCGUAAAAAAAAAAAAAAAAAAAAAAAAAGCACACAACAAAAGCCCAAAGUGAGGUCAUCCUUACAGAGAUCCCGAGAGAGGGGAGGGCUCAGAGCUGGCAUUAAAAAACAAUUUAUACCAUGUUGUCUUCACACUAAUAACCAUUCCCUGUAAAAGCUUCCCAGGAAUAAAUAUGCUGUGGUAAAAAGCUGAGUCAAUUUUACAUUUUCAAAGAUGAAACACUAUGU